rnacentral:rRNA from 1 species
UACGUAGGGAGCAAGCGUUGUCCGGAAUCAUUGGGCGUAAAGCGCGCGUAGGCGGCCCCGUAAGUCCGCUGUGAAAGUCAAAGGCUCAACCUUUGAAAGCCGGUGGAUACUGUGGGGCUAGAGUCCGGAAGAGGCGAGUGGAAUUCCUGGUGUAGCGGUGAAAUGCGCAGAUAUCAGGAAGAACACCCGUGGCGAAGGCGGCUCUCUGGAACGCAACUGACGCUGAGACGCGAAAGCGUGGGGAGCAAACAGG